rnacentral:rRNA from 1 species
AUUGAACGCUGGCGGCAGGCCUAACACAUGCAAGUCGAACGAGUGGCGGACGGGUGAGUAAUGUCUGGGAAACUGCCUGAUGGAGGGGGAUAACUACUGGAAACGGUAGCUAAUACCGCAUACCAUCGGAUGUGCCCAGAUGGGAUUAGCUAGUAGGUGGGGUAAAGGCUCACCUAGGCGACGAUCCCUAGCUGGUCUGAGAGGAUGACCAGCCACACUGGAACCGAGACACGGUCCCGACUCCUACGGGGGGCAACGGUGGGGAAUUUUGCACAAUGGGGGCAAUCCUGAGGCAGCCAUGGCGCGUGUAUGGAGAAGGCCUUCUGGUUGUAAAGGACUUUUAGCGGGGAGGCGUUACCCGCAGAAGAAGCACCGGCUAACUCCGUGCCAGCAGCCGCGGUAAUAC